AACCGCCGUGUGCCGAACGGCACGCACGGUGGUGUGAGAGGGACGGGAAACCGUCCCUACUCGAU
rnacentral:ncRNA from 1 species